rnacentral:tRNA from 1 species
AAAAGUGUAAUUUUAAUUCAGUUACGUUGAAUGAAGCCAUUUAUCGGCACUUUUU